CGGCCCUGGUGCGGGCGGAGCUCGCUGCCGAGCGGCCAUUUGCGAACGCGGAGCCGCGGCCGCUCCGGCAGCCUCGCCCCAGCCUGGGGAGCCGAUGCCCUCCUGGGAGCUCCCUGUGGGAGGUGCCGGCUCUGGGGCGCUCGAGGAGCACGCCCCAUUAAACUUUCCAACACGCCGGAAACAUGUGGUGUACACUCGUCAGCCUGGACAGACUGAAUCUCAAUUGCACACACAACUAUUUGGAGAACAAAAAGUUUCAAAAUGACUCUUUGCAAGUGUUGGCUGAACCUGACGCAUUCAUUCAAUCAGAGAACAGAGGUGCUACCAUGUGACUCGCCCAACCAAUCAUAACCAGUGAGCACAUUAUGAACUUGAAGAACAGUGAGAACUGUGGUUUGCUGUCGCAUGCUGCACUGUGGGUGCUCCUCUCUGCCCCUCAGUUACCUGGAGCACUGCGGUGAGCUUGCUCGAAGUGUCCCUUUCUCAUCACCAAUUGCUGUGCCCCAGCAGGUGAGCAAAACCCAUGAAAGCAGAGCUGGCUGGCAAAUGAGUCAUGGUAAUGUGGCACUUUUGUUGAAAUGUUGACGUGUUUCAAACUUCUCCACCUAGUGUCACAGCAGAGCAACAAAGAAAAGUCCUGAUACUGUGAUGUGAUCCAUAUAGGCAGACCUCAGCAGAGAUCCACUGAAGUCAGCCAAAAUCCACGUGGAUAUGAGAGGCUUUCCAUUGCACAGAACUCACUGUAGGAUAGAAGCCAAAGUUAAUCCUGUUUGCCUGCUGCAUGUAUAACUUUGUAUCACUCGGCAGGGAAAUAAAACCGUUAAAGCACUGAGUUGUUUGGAAUUUCUCCUCUGUGUUUGUUUUUAAAUAAAAUGUGGCCUGUUGGAUGAGAUUUGACACAUUCAUGGAAAAGAUAAAACUUUUGGCUAAUUGA